rnacentral:antisense_RNA from 1 species
CGCGGGCCGCCGGGCCGGGGUCGCCGCCCGGGCUCGGUCAGUCGGUACCUUCAUGAAGGUCUCUACCGCGCCUUUGGCCGUGUCCAGCCUCGUCCCAAAUGCCGUGGGAGGGAAGGCAUUCUCUGUCAAGCUGCUGUCACCUUACCUGAAGUAAGGAGUCCACGCCUGCAUGUCCGAGGAAAACAGUUUUCUCAAACACAUUAGUUGAAAAACUGAAGACACUGCCUAAAAUACAAGCUGAGUUAGAGACAGCCCUUGUAAGACUAGAAAAAGAAAUGAAAACUAAGUAACAUGAAUUAACAUAGUCCAGGGUCACAAAGCAAAAUGGAACAAGAACCUGGAUCUGAAUUCAGAGGCAGAAUGCUGGGCCUGAGAAUCAGGAGAGUCAAUGGUAUUAGUGCUGGUCCGGAAGCCAUCAUGCUUCAAAACCAAGAAGAGCUGAUUUUCCAGAUGGAGUCUAAAGGGUGAGUUUCCCAAGAAGUAGAUUCUGAGACAGAGAGUUGUGUGCAGGAGUCUAUUGAGAAAACACUUGUGAGGGCAUGAGGAAGCAGGACAGCGGCAGAGUUUGGCCUGAGGAAAGGCCUUGUGAGGACAUAACCAGGAAGGAGAGUCCUCACCAGAACCUGACCAUACCGGCACCCUGAUCUCAAACUUCCAGCUUCCAGAACCAUGAGAAAUCAAUGUUUGUUGUUUUAGCCACCCAGUCUAUAGAAAUUUGUUAUAGCCACCCUAGCUGACUACCACAUUGGACAUCACAGC